ensembl:lncRNA
GGAACGUUUUUGCUUGAGUUAACUGCUUAUUUAAUUAUACUUUUUUUCCUUUAAAAUAAAUUUAAGCUUCUGGAAUGUUGUUUUAAUUUCAGUUACAUUACAGCUGGCUUUUAAUUCAUCAAGAGCUCCAGUCACAGCACAACGAGGGAUACGGCUCUCCUCUGUCUCCCCCAACUGGACCUGAUGGGUAUUGCUUCACAUUCUGGUAUCACAUGUUCGGAGCAACAGUGGGAUCAUUAAGAAUGUCUAUACAUGACAUUACAUCCGAUCUCAUCACAUCAAUGUGGCAAAGGAAAGGAAGGGUUCUCAGGGAACUGAAUGACAGGUGGCUCAGAACAUGUGCAACUGACAGAAAUUCAUCAGAUAUUAAUUGAGGCUUCAGUUGGAGGGCUGUCUGGUCACAUUGCUGUAGAUGAUUUAUCUGUCACUAAAGGUGCCUGUACUACCAACCACAGGUAAUUAAUAACAUAGCUUAUUAAUUUGGUCUGUUGUUUUUCACAGUGUCCUGUUGAAAUGUCCUCCAUGCUUGCUAGAGCACCACAAGCAUUUGACACAGCUGUAACAUAAUGUUGUAUUUAUCCAUCUAUAUGUUGUCUUCAAUAUCAAACUUUAACUGUCAGCUUAGUGACAAAUUUAGGGUAUUUAAUUCAUGUCAAAAGCAACUUGAUUAAAUAUACCAUGCAAAAAUGUGAGCCUGGAGAGGG